AUUGAACGCUGGCGGCAGGCCUAACACAUGCAAGUCGAACGGUAACAGGAAGCAGCUUGCUGCUUUGCUGACGAGUGGCGGACGGGUGAGUAAUGUCUGGGAAACUGCCUGAUGGAGGGGGAUAACUGCUGGAAACGGUAGCUAAUACCGCAUAACGUCGCAAGACCAAAGAGGGGGACCUUCGGGCCUCUUGCCAUCGGAUGUGCCCAGAUGGGAUUAGCUAGUAGGUGGGGUAACGGCUCACCUAGGCGACGAUCCCUAGCUGGUCUGAGAGGAUGACCAGCCACACUGGAACUGAGACACGGUCCAGACUCCUACGGGAGGCAGCAGUGGGGAAUAUUGCACAAUGGGCGCAAGCCUGAUGCAGCCAUGCCGCGUGUAUGAAGAAGGCCUUCGGGUUGUAAAGUACUUUCAGCGGGGAGGAAGGGAGUAAAGUUAAUACCUUUGCUCAUUGACGUUACCCGCAGAAGAAGCACCGGCUAACUCCGUG
rnacentral:rRNA from 1 species